rnacentral:rRNA from 1 species
GAUGAACGCUAGCGACAGGCUUAACACAUGCAAGUCGAGGGGUAACAGGGGAGCUUGCUCCCGCUGACGACCGGCGCACGGGUGCGUAACGCGUAUACAACCUGCCUCAAAGCGAGGGAUAACCCAGAGAAGUUUGGACUAAUACCUCAUAGUAUAUAUUAGAGGCAUCUUUGAUAUAUUAAAGAUCUAUUGCUUUGAGAUGGGUAUGCGUAUGAUUAGCUAGUUGGUAAGGUAACGGCUUACCAAGGCUACGAUCAUUAGGGGUUCUGAGAGGAAGGUCCCCCACACUGGUACUGAGACACGGACCAGACUCCUACGGGAGGCAGCAGUGAGGAAUAUUGGUCAAUGGGCGAGAGCCUGAACCAGCCAAGUCGCGUGAAGGAAGACGGUCCUAUGGAUUGUAAACUUCUUUUGUACAGGAGUAAAGUGAGUUACGAGUAACUUUUUGCAAGUACUGUACGAAUAAGCAUCGGCUAACUCCGUGCCAGCAGCCGCGGUAAUACGGAGGAUGCGAGCGUUAUCCGGAUUUAUUGGGUUUAAAGGGUGCGCAGGCGGUAUUACAAGUCAGAGGUGAAAUCUUGGUGCUUAACAUUAAAAUUGCCUUUGAAACUGUAGUACUUGAGUGUAAAAGAGGUAGGCGGAAUGUGUUGUGUAGCGGUGAAAUGCUUAGAUAUAACACAGAACACCGAUUGCGAAGGCAGCUUACUAUAAUACAACUGACGCUCAUGCACGAAAGCGUGGGGAUCAAACAGG